rnacentral:rRNA from 1 species
UUUUGGACAAUGGGCGCAAGCCUGAUCCAGCAAUGCCGCGUGAGUGAAGAAGGCCUUCGGGUUGUAAAGCUCUUUCGUCAGGGAAGAAACGGUGAGCUCUAAUACAGUUUGCUAAUGACGGUACCUGAAGAAUAAGCACCGGCUAACUACGUGCCAGCAGCCGCGGUAAUACGUAGGGUGCAAGCGUUAAUCGGAAUUACUGGGCGUAAAGCGUGCGCAGGCGGUUAUGUAAGUCAGAUGUGAAAUCCCCGGGCUCAACCUGGGAAUGGCAUUUGAGACUGCAUGGCUAGAGUGUGUCAGAGGGGGGUAGAAUUCCACGUGUAGCAGUGAAAUGCGUAGAGAUGUGGAGGAAUACCGAUGGCGAAGGCAGCCCCCUGGGAUAACACUGACGCUCAGCACGAAA